AGUGAACGCUGGCGGUAGGCCUAACACAUGCAAGUCGAACGGCAGCACAGUAAGAGCUUGCUCUUACGGGUGGCGAGUGGCGGACGGGUGAGGAAUACAUCGGAAUCUACUUUUUCGUGGGGGAUAACGUAGGGAAACUUACGCUAAUACCGCAUACGACCUACGGGUGAAAGCAGGGGAUCUUCGGACCUUGCGCGAUUGAAUGAGCCGAUGUCGGAUUAGCUAGUUGGCGGGGUAAAGGCCCACCAAGGCGACGAUCCGUAGCCGGUUUGAGAGGAUGAUCAGCCACACUGGAACUGAGACACGGUCCAGACUCCUACGGGAGGCAGCAGUGGGGAAUAUUGGACAAUGGGCGCAAGCCUGAUCCAGCCAUACCGCGUGGGUGAAGAAGGCCUUCGGGUUGUAAAGCCCUUUUGUUGGGAAAGAAAAGCAGCAGGUUAAUACCCCGCUGUUCUGACGGUACCCAAAGAAUAAGCACCGGCUAACUUCGUG
rnacentral:rRNA from 1 species